GUCCCUGCGGUGACAUUCGAUAAAAUUGGAACGAUAUGAAGAAGAUUAGCAUGGCCCAUGAAUAAGGAUGACACACACAAAUCGAGAAAUGGUCCAAAUUUUU